UACGAAGGGGGGCUAGCGUUGCUCGGAAUCACUGGGCGUAAAGGGUGCGUAGGCGGGUCUUUAAGUCAGGGGUGAAAUCCUGGAGCUCAACUCCAGAACUGCCUUUGAUACUGAGGAUCUUGAGUUCGGGAGAGGUGAGUGGAACUGCGAGUGUAGAGGUGAAAUUCGUAGAUAUUCGCAAGAACACCAGUGGCGAAGGCGGCUCACUGGCCCGAUACUGACGCUGAGGCACGAAAGCGUGGAGAGCAAACAGG
rnacentral:rRNA from 1 species